UACGGAGGGUGCGAGCGUUGUCCGGAAUCACUGGGCGUAAAGGGCGCGUAGGCGGCCUGAUAAGUAGGGGGUGAAAUCCUGCGGCUUAACCGCAGGGCUGCCUUCUAAACUGUCAGGCUUGAGCACAGUAGAGGCAGGUGGAAUUCCCGGUGUAGCGGUGGAAUGCGUAGAGUUCGGGAAGAACAUCAGUGGCGAAGGCGGCCUGCUGGGCUGUUGCUGACGCUGAGGCGCGACAGCGUGGGGAGCAAACAGG
rnacentral:rRNA from 1 species